AAUCCAUAGGUUAAUGAGGCGAACCGGGGGAACUGAAACAUCUAAGUACCCCGAGGAAAAGAAAUCAACCGAGAUUCCCCCAGUAGCGGCGAGCGAACGGGGAGGAGCCCAGAGCCUGAAUCAGCAUGUGUGUUAGUGGAAGCGUCUGGAAAGGCGCGCGAUACAGGGUGACAGCCCCGUACACAAAAGCGCAUGUGCUGUGAGCUCGAUGAGUAGGGCGGGACACGUGGUAUCCUGUCUGAAUAUGGGGGGACCAUCCUCCAAGGCUAAAUACUCCUGACUGACCGAUAGUGAACCAGUACCGUGAGGGAAAGGCGAAAAGAACCCCGGCGAGGGGAGUGAAAAAGAACCUGAAACCGUGUACGUACAAGCAGUGGGAGCCCCACCACCAAAGCAUUUGCUGUACCGCGUUGACGGAGCGAAGCGACGUCAAACC
rnacentral:rRNA from 3 species